rnacentral:rRNA from 1 species
UACAGAGGUCCCAAGCGUUGUUCGGAUUCACUGGGCGUAAAGGGUGCGUAGGUGGUGAGGUAAGUCGGAUGUGAAAGCUCGGAGCUCAACUCCGAAAUGGCAUUGGAAACUACCUUGCUCGAGGGUUGGAGGGGGGACUGGAAUGCUUGGUGUAGCAGUGAAAUGCGUAGAUAUCGUAAGGAAGACCAGUGGCGAAGGCGGGUCUCUGGACAGUUCCUGACGCUGAGGCACGAAGGCCAGGGGAGCAAACGGG